GGAAACGCGAAAAGAAACUCGGGAAGCUGGGACAGCGCUGGGCGACGUGGUUCACAGCCAUCUCCACUCGGGAAUCAGAGAGGGUGUCUGGGGGGCUGCGCUAAGACACACAGGAUGGCCACCCCUUCAGCUGCCCGCGCAUCAACACUUUUUCCAAGGAGAAAACCAUAAAAGAAGGCUUCUCUCAAAUUACAGGAACCUACACUUCCUGCUCGGGCGUCCGUAUAAUGUUGAAACAACGCAGCGUGUGUCCAGCCCCCGGGAUAGUGGCAGCGCCAGGCAGCUCGGUGUCGUACAAGCGUACUGCAAUCCGUAUGUCGCGUCCUCAAGAAAUGGAAAAGGCUUCUGUGCUCUCGGUACUGAACACCAUCCGAGGGACAGUCCAAGUAGUUUAAGGCUUCUGAUGUAUUCAUUUGUCGCUAGUUAACUUUGCACCGCAUUCUAACAGACUUUCGGUGGCAGGAACCAGCUUUAGGUGACGGGGCACGGGCCACCUGUGAGAGUGAAUCGAGUGCUGUUGUGCAGACUGUUUCAACUUUUUUGUGAGUUCUUGCACUGUGUGUGUGCGCGUUAUUCGUGUGUAUUUUUUGAAACCACAUUUACCUCUUUUGUGUACCGCAUCUACCAGUUCUUUUUGGUGGCACUUUGGCUUCCACACUGCCGUGGGAAAGCGCCGAAGGUAGGGCCAAGUGAAGUGCCCGG
rnacentral:lncRNA from 1 species